rnacentral:lncRNA from 1 species
CCCUCCGUACAGAAGCUCUUUCUUCUUCCUAAGACUAAAGGAUCCGAAAAAUACACCUAAAAGCUAACCUAAAGACCUACAAAAGACCAGCUGCUUUUCGCCAUAAACUAGAAGCGGGGACCACCCACCCAUCGGUGUUUCUUCUUAUUCCCAUUCUUAACACCAGUCACCAAUAGCCCAAGUCGCUCCCUCAUCACCAAACUCUUUGAAAAACCAGCAACCCCCAUCAGAUCGAGCACACACAGUAAGGCAACGAGCGUAAGUCGAGUUUUUGAUUUCAAAAAGUCAAAAAACAAUACAAAAAGAUGUUUCGUCUUCUUCGUCCUUGAUUUGAUUAUUAGUUUCUGAAAUAUGGAUUUUAACUGAAGUCUGGGGUUGUUUUUUAGUUUGAGUUGUGUGGAGGUUGCUGCUGAAGGCUUAAAUCCGUAAUUUCAAUUUGAUUUGUGCUGAUUUCAUUUGAAGUUGUGUCAAUGUCCGAUUAUUUUUGUUUAAUCGGAAAGCUUCUUCAGGUUGCUCUCAUCUUUCUUGAUGCUUUUGUUAGGAUGGUACUGUUUUAGUGGUUCUGUAAAGAUUUAGAGUUUGUGGCUUGCCUUUCAUUUUGUGUUCAUUAGUCUAACAUUCUUUAGCUUCAUUUUGAAGGCCUUUUCUGGUUUUGGUUGUGAUUAUUUAUUAGUACCCAGAAUCUAAUUUAGACAUUAGUUCGAUAUAAUAUUAAUAGAAGGAUUACAUUUCGGGUUUGAUUGAUAUUGAAAAUGGAUUGGAAUCC